GGGGAUUAGCGUCUGCGUCUCGUAGAAGCAGGCGGACCGGAGACCCCCAAGACCCUCCCGCGGCCGUGUUAGCGCAGUCCUGACGCCCUCCGGGCCUCGGUGGGCGUAGCCUCUCUCCUGCCUCCUUCCCCGGCUUCCCCUGGCAGGAACCAGUGGCUGUGGCUGCUGCGGGGCUCAGGGUACAGUGAGACCUGUUGCACCCCUCACCGGCCUUGGACUUCCCUGCGGGAGUUUUCUGCCCUGCGGCCACAAAGGCCUUGAGGCCUGUCUUCACUGACCGUGACGCCUGUGCUGGGAGAGCAAGGGCCAGAGCUCUGGGGUUCAUGGCCGACUGGGACUCACUUCCAGAAGGACCAGCGGCCGCCACUGCCCACUUUUGUGAAUUCCGGCCCAGAGGACUGUGGGUGGCGAAUAUUUGUUGAAAGAUUCACCACAAUAGGUCAAGUCUAUCCUGGAUUCCUCUAAGCUGAAGAGGAAGAGGAGGAAGAGGAAGAGGAAGAAGAACUGGAUCUAAAAACAG